UGAGGAAGGUAUUGUUGUUGGUGGAGGGUGCACUCUUCUGAGACUGGCAGCUAGAGUUGACGCCAUCAAGGACAACCUGGAGAAUGAUGAGCAGAAGGUUGGAGCUGAAAUUGUAAGGAGAGCGCUGAGCUACCCGCUUAAAUUGAUUGCUAAGAAUGCUGGUGUUAAUGGAAGCGUUGUUACCGAGAAGGUUCUCUCUAACGAUAACUUCAAGUUUGGUUACAAUGCUGCAACUGGACAGUACGAGGAUUUGAUGGCUGCUGGUAUCAUUGACCCCACUAAGGUGGUGAGA
rnacentral:misc_RNA from 1 species